rnacentral:tRNA from 1 species
UCCCGGAUGGCUCAGUCGGUAGAGCAUGUGAAUCUUGAUCUCAGGGUCAUGAGUUCGAGCCCCAUAUUGGGCA